rnacentral:rRNA from 1 species
AUUGAACGCUGGCGGCAGGCCUAACACAUGCAAGUCGAGCGGAUGAAGGGAGCUUGCUCCUGGAUUCAGCGGCGGACGGGUGAGUAAUGCCUAGGAAUCUGCCUGGUAGUGGGGGAUAACGUCCGGAAACGGGCGCUAAUACCGCAUACGUCCUGAGGGAGAAAGUGGGGGAUCUUCGGACCUCACGCUAUCAUAUGAGCCUAGGUCGGAUUAGCUAGUUGGUGGGGUAAAGGCCUACCAAGGCGACGAUCCGUAACUGGUCUGAGGGGAUGAUCAGUCACACUGGAACUGAGACACGGUCCAGACUCCGACGGGAGGAAGCAGUGGGGAAUAUUGGACGAUGGGGGAAAGGCUGAUCCAGCACUGCCGCGUGUGUGAAGAAGGUCUUCGGAUUGUAAAGCACUUUAAGUUGGGAGGAAGGGCAGUAAGUUAAUACCUUGCUGUUUUGACGUUACCAACAGAAUAAGCACCGGCUAACUUCGUG